rnacentral:rRNA from 1 species
ACACGUAGGGGCCUGACGUUGUUCGGAAUCAUUGGGCGUAAAGGGCGCGCAGGCGGCCGUCCAAGUCCGGUGUUAAAUGGUCGGGCUCAACCCGAUCAUGCGCUGGAAACUGGGCGGCUUGAGUCCCGUAGGGGAUGCCGGAAUUCCAGGUGUAGGGGUGAAAUCUGUAGAUAUCUGGAAGAACACCGAUGGCGAAGGCAGGCAUCUGGCGGGGGAAUGUCGCUGAUGCGCGCAGGCGCGGGGAGCGCCCAGGUUUAGAUGCCCUGGUAGGCCGCGCAGUAAGCGAUGCGCACCAGGCGUAGGGAGGCAGCGCCCGGUACCGGAGGGAAAGUGAUGAGUGCGCCCGCUGGGGAGUAUGGCCUCAAGGGUGAUACUCAAAGGACUUGUCGGGA